rnacentral:misc_RNA from 1 species
AAGUCGUAACAAGGUUUCCGUAGGUGAACCUGCGGAAGGAUCAUUAGAAAUCACCGGCCUAGCCGGUAUAAAAUUUUCUAUCCACCUUGUGUGCAAACAAUGGAAAAAGAGAGAAAAUUGGAUACUUUUUUGUAUUCAACUUCUCUAAAAUUCUUUAUAAACUCCAUCAAAUUUUGAAUAAAAACAAUUUUUUUUUAAUAAAAAAAUAUUAUACAACUUUCAACAACGGAUCUCUUGGCUCUC